rnacentral:lncRNA from 1 species
UCUUUCAGCAGCAGCCUGUCUCUCCCCGCUGGAAGCAGAGCUGGAGUUCCCUCCUCGCUGCCCUGGAGUCUGUGCGGGUGACGGCGCACACCCCCCCAGCUUCACCCAUCUCCCGGCGCGGGGGGCCGAGCGGGAGAGGCUUGCACCCAGCAGCUUUCUCCUCCCCCCGCUGCUCCCGCUGCCUUCUCACCAACGACGACGUGCCUGCUCCCAGUUUAACAACUGCUCAGGGCACCUAACCCAGCAGUCAAUUAGCGCCGGACUACCCAGUCGAUAAGCCAGCUGCGCCUGUCAAAUCUCCGUGUAGGAGUUCGGCGCGCAAUUAGCAAAUGAUGAAAGGUUAGAUUUCGCUGCGAUCUACCCACUGACGGUCCCCGUGCUCCCUCCUGUCCUGCAGCCCUCGCUUCUCCGGCUCCCCUUCGCUCCUGGGGAUUCCUGACACGCAGCAAACUGUGCUCGGAUUUCAGCCCUCCGAAUGCAAGCAGCGCCUUUUCAUCAUCCCAGCUCCAGUGAAUCAACCCCAGAUUACAGCGCACCAUCAAUCAUCUACCACCUAUACCAACGGCGAGGCUUCUGCAAACACAACUGGCAGCAGAACGCCGGAGAUUGUCGAUGUUUUUUGAGCAACCACCUUUCCUGUUACAAGUCUCCAUUUCUGGAGCUUCCCAAUGAUUCACAAUGGAAAUAGCUCCACAGCCUGAGGAUCCUAACCCUGGGCCUCAACCUCCAUCAGCAACAGCCAGCCUGAUCCUCAGGGAUCCAAGGUGGAUCCACAGACCUUCAAGGGACAAAGAACCUGAGAUGUAAACUGGUACAAUAGUUAUAUUGCACCACCUCGAUGUCAUAAACAGGUGACAUCCUUAGCUGUUCCUGGGUCAAAACCAGGUGAAACUUGCCACGUGGGGUUCUCUUGGUUUAUUCUAGAUGAAGGCAAGCAAGUAGGGACCUCACCUACAAUCUGCCAGUGGGUUUUCCCUGGACAAGACAGUAGGACUCCCUGUACACACUGUCUUCUAGCUCGUUAACUACAACAUGGGUGAGCCUGACCCAGGCCUGGUCGUUUUUCCAAAAGUCUCACAAAGUCGGUGGGUGGAGUUUGGGAGGUGGGGGUGGUAGUGUUUUGGGGAUUUUUUUAUUCCAUCUUCUCACAAAUUCUCAUGACUAGAAUCCCACAUGCCCUUUUUUCCUUUUUCUUAAAGCAUAGUUUCUGGCCACUUCUGGUGCAAAUAAAGGCUUGAAUAAUAAGCCCCA